rnacentral:lncRNA from 1 species
CUUUUUUUUCCUUUUUUUUUUUACUGGGGAUUUAACCCAGGGCUCAGUUGAGUUACUGAACUAUAUCUCUAGUCCUUUUUUAUUUUUAAUUUAAUUAAUUUAUUUUUGGUUCCAGGGAUGAAACUCAGGACCUUGUGCUUGCAAGGCAGGCAGCGGCACCACUGAGCUAAACCCCGGGCCCUAGCCCUUUUUAUUUUUUAUUUUGAGACAGGGUCUUGCUAAAUUGCCCAGGCUGGGCUCGAAUUUGCGAGCAUCCGUCUUCAGCCUCCUAGAAUGCUAGGAUUCCAGGUGAGCGUCACCAUCUCCUCCGCUGGAAUGGCAUUCUUAUGACCUCAGUUUGGGUUGAGGAAAUAGAAGAGAUAUCAAAUUCCAAAGAGGUUACUGUGCAGAAAUACCAAAGUUGUAUCAAGAACAGGCUUCUUGGUUGGCCUGGCAGGAUGGAAAAGUCCAGCCUUCCUUGAAUGAGAGUCGGGAAGGACAAUGGAGUUGGCUGUUGCGAAUGAUAUUACCAUCACUGAAAAAAAUCCUUGACCGUAGAAGAUAUGCCAUCCUCUCACCAGUUACCCAGCCAGAACCCAGGAGAAUUAACUUCUGUCCCAGUUCAAUAUGUGAAGGGUUCUUAACCCAACUCCCACUGUUGCCCACCC